rnacentral:rRNA from 1 species
CACGUAGGGGGCGAGCGUUGUUCGGAAUUACUGGGCGUAAAGGGCAUGUAGGCGGUCUUGUAAGCUUGGCGUGAAAGACCACGGCUCAACCGUGGGAUUGCGUUGAGAACUGCGAGGCUUGAGUGACGGAGAGGGAGCUAGAAUUCCUGGUGUAGGGGUGGAAUCUGUAGAGAUCAGGAAGAAUACCAAUGGCGAAGGCAAGCUCCUGGCCGAUGACUGACGCUGAGGUGCGAAAGUGUGGGGAUCAAACAGGAUUAGAAACCCUAGUAGUCC